rnacentral:rRNA from 1 species
AUUGAACGCUGGCUGCAGGCCUAACACAUGCAAGUCGAGCGGAUGAAGGGAGCUUGCUCCUGGAUUCAGCGGCGGACGGGUGAGUAAUGCCUAGGAAUCUGCCUGGUAGUGGGGGAUAACGUCCGGAAACGGGCGCUAAUACCGCAUACGUCCUGAGGGAGAAAGUGGGGGAUCUUCGGACCUCACGCUAUCAGAUGAGCCUAGGUCGGAUUAGCUAGUUGGUGGGGUAAGGGCCUACCAAGGCGACGAUCCGUAACUGGUCUGAGAGGAUGAUCAGUCACACUGGAACUGAGACACGGUCCAGACUCCUACGGGAGGCAGCAGUGGGGAAUAUUGGACAAUGGGCGAAAGCCUGAUCCAGCCAUGCCGCGUGUGUGAAGAAGGUCUUCGGAUUGUAAAGCACUUUAAGUUGGGAGGAAGGGCAGUAAGUUAAUACCUUGCUGUUUUGACGUUACCAACAGAAUAAGCACCGGCUAACUUCGUG